UCACGUCAAAAAAAAAAAAAAAAUUCAUAAAAUUUUCAUUUUGUUUUUUUUUAAACAAAUCGCUAAACCUCAAAACUAUUUCGAAACCUUUUCAAAAUUAUCAACAAAUAUGUUGUAAAUUAAACGCUAAAUACAAUUUAAUUUUCGAAGAACAAAAUUUGAUGGCCACCAAGUGAGAAAUUUGAGGUAUUACAAAAAAAAAAACAUCUUCCGCCUUAUCAUGGAUCCCACAGGCACCCCUUGUUGUCCGUGCUGCAAUUCGCCUUGUUGCUGCUGUUGUGAGAAGUUCGUGCCGAAUUAUGAAAUAAGAGAUCGGCCGAAACGUAUCCUGUUAAAUAAAAUCUAUUGGUGUGACUGUCGUCCACCAUUGGAUAAACGGGAAUGUGAAGUUUGCAAGAAGCGUGCAGCUAAGGCGGAGAAUAAUGAACAACACCAAGAAUUUGAGGAAAAAGAUGAAGGGGUCAUAACAUAUUCAAAUAUUGCAGCAUUUAAUCGAUUACUUUAGAUGGCUGAUACAAAGGCGGAUCAAAAUGAUACGAAUAAUUCAUUACAAGCAUUCCUUAACUUAAACAGUCUUGAUAUUUUCCUAUUUUUAUCAAUGAUGCAACCCAUUUCUCCAUUGAACUCGGCUAGCUUAUCUUCA